GGCGAAGCCUGAUCCAGCCAUGCCGCGUGUGUGAAGAAGGUCUUCGGAUUGUAAAGCACUUUAAGUUGGGAGGAAGGGCAGUAACUUAAUACGUUGCUGUUUUGACGUUACCGACAGAAUAAGCACCGGCUAACUCUGUGCCAGCAGCCGCGGUAAU
rnacentral:rRNA from 1 species